rnacentral:rRNA from 1 species
CCGGGGAGGGUCAUUGGAAACUGGGAAACUUGAGUGCAGAAGAGGAGAGUGGAAUUCCACGUGUAGCGGUGAAAUGCUAAGAGAUGUGGAGGAACACCAGUGGCGAAGGCGACUCUCUGGUCUGUAACUGACGCUGAGGAGCGAAAGCGUGGGGAGCGAACAGGAUUAGAUACCCUGGUAGUCCACGCCGUAAACGAUGAGUGCUAAGUGUUAGGGGGUUUCCGCCCCUUAGUGCUGCAGCUAACGCAUUAAGCACUCCGCCUGGGGAGUACGGUCGCAAGACUGAAACUCAAAGGAAUUGACGGGGGCCCGCACAAGCGGUGGAGCAUGUGGUUUAAUUCGAAGCAACGCGAAGAACCUUACCAGGUCUUGACAUCCUCUGACAACCCUAGAGAUAGGGCUUUCCCUUCGGGGACAGAGUGACAGGUGGUGCAUGGUUGUCGUCAGCUCGUGUCGUGAGAUGUUGGGUUAAGUCCCGCAACGAGCGCAACCCUUGAUCUUAGUUGCCAGCAUUCAGUUGGGCACUCUAAGGUGACUGCCGGUGACAAACCGGAGGAAGGUGGGGAUGACGUCAAAUCAUCAUGCCCCUUAUGACCUGGGCUACACACGUGCUACAAUGGACAGAACAAAGGGCUGCAAGACCGCAAGGUUUAGCCAAUCCCAUAAAUCUGUUCUCAGUUCGGAUCGCAGUCUGCAACUCGACUGCGUGAAGCUGGAAUCGCUAGUAAUCGCGGAUCAGC